rnacentral:rRNA from 1 species
AUGACGAUCUUGUGCUGGAACUGCCGGGGUUUGGGCCAUCCCGGGACAGUUCGGGAACUUGUGUGCCUAGGGCGCACCUACUGCCCCUCUGUCGUGUUCUUAUCUGAAACGCGGCAGUGUGAGGAGAGUGUCAAUAGAAUAAGAGGGAGGCUAGGUCUGAAGCACUGUAUCACCCAUGAUGGGGUGGGUAAAGGUGCUGGCAUCGCCCUGUUCUGGGACGAUAGC